rnacentral:sRNA from 1 species
UUUUCCGGCGGCGUACCGGGAAGUCGCUGAAGACAAAGCGAUGGUAGUUCUGGAGGCCUCGCUCCGGGGCCGACCCGAGGCCACAGUUCCUCCGCGGUAGACCGGACUUGGGUGACGGGCUCCGGGCUCCCGAGGGAUGGAAGGGUCUAAGACGUCCAACAACAGCACCAUGCAGGUGAGCUUCGUGUGCCAGCGCUGCAGCCAGCCCCUGAAACUGGACACGAGUUUCAAGAUCCUGGACCGUGUCACCAUCCAGGAACUCACAGCUCCAUUACUUACCACAGCCCAGGCGAAACCAGGAGAGACCCAGGAGGAAGAGACUAACUCAGGAGAGGAGCCAUUUAUUGAAACUCCUCGCCAGGAUGGUGUCUCUCGCAGAUUCAUCCCCCCAGCCAGGUGCCUACUACUUCUCAGCCCCCAUUCCUUGCCAAAGGCUAGUAGAAUUUUAAUUAAAUCCAGGAAUCGAGACCUGGAGCCAGGUGAUAGAGACGCAUCAUCACCUAGCCUUUUGGCCCUUUCAGAAAAGAUGUAUUCCCUUAUACCUGGCCCGUCACCUUCCAGUAUGGAUUUUUUCCUGUAGCUGUUCACAGAGUGGGAAAGGAUAGUAGCUUUAAUGAUGAAGUAUUGAAAAAAAUUGAGGGAGUGAUUGACCAAUCACCAAGAGAUGGGCUCUUGAGAAGUUUCAAACUAGCAAAUGUUGUUAGAUGUUCAGGUCCUUAGUUCUCAUUGCUGCAGGUAAAGAGCUUGCUGGCAAGGGGUAUAAUAUUUUCUAAAAUGGCCUUUCCUGGUUCUCCCUUCUUUUCCACUGUAGACAUAUCAAUUUUUUAUGCUCCCUCUCCCUCCUUAGUCCACCAAGGCCAACCUUCGUGCUGAGUGUCCCUGUGGAAGACCAGCAUGGCCUUCCUUUGGGAGAGAGGGUACCCUUGGGAGGUCAGUCGGGCUAGGAGUGGGUAUGUUCCUUGAGGCCCCUCAGCUGGUGCUUGAGAGUCUCUGCCACUGGCAUUGUAGUAGGUGGAGGAAGCCUCUCUGUUCCCUCAUGUGGCCCGUGGGCGGGGGGCUGUCUGCAGGAUGAUGUCCACAGAAAGUGCCAACAGCUUCACUCUGAUUGGGGAGGCAUCUGAUGGCGGCACCAUGGAGAACCUCAGCCGAAGACUGAAGGUCACUGGGGACCUUUUUGACAUCAUGUCGGGCCAGACAGAUGUGGAUCACCCACUCUGUGAGGAAUGCACAGAUACUCUUUUAGACCAGCUGGACACUCAGCUCAACGUCACUGAAAAUGAGUGUCAGAACUACAAACGCUGUUUGGAGAUCUUAGAGCAAAUGAAUGAGGAUGACAGUGAACAGUUACAGAUGGAGCUUAAGGAGCUGGCACUAGAGGAGGAGAGGCUGAUCCAGGAGCUGGAAGACGUGGAAAAGAACCGCAAGACAGUGGCAGAAAAUCUCGAGAAGGUCCAGGCUGAGGCUGAGAGACUGGAUCAGGAGGAAGCUCAGUAUCAGAGAGAAUACAGUGAAUUUAAACGACAGCAGCUGGAGCUGGAUGAUGAGCUGAAGAGUGUUGAAAACCAGAUGCGUUAUGCCCAGACGCAGCUGGAUAAGCUGAAGAAAACCAACGUCUUUAAUGCAACCUUCCACAUCUGGCACAGUGGACAGUUUGGCACAAUCAAUAACUUCAGGCUGGGUCGCCUGCCCAGUGUUCCCGUGGAAUGGAAUGAGAUUAAUGCUGCUUGGGGCCAGACUGUGUUGCUGCUCCAUGCUCUGGCCAAUAAGAUGGGUCUGAAAUUUCAGAGAUACCGACUUGUUCCUUACGGAAACCAUUCAUAUCUGGAGUCUCUGACAGACAAAUCUAAGGAGCUGCCGUUAUACUGUUCUGGGGGGUUGCGGUUUUUCUGGGACAACAAGUUUGACCAUGCAAUGGUGGCUUUCCUGGACUGUGUGCAGCAGUUCAAAGAAGAGGUUGAGAAAGGCGAGACACGUUUUUGUCUUCCCUACAGGAUGGAUGUGGAGAAAGGCAAGAUUGAAGACACAGGAGGCAGCGGCGGCUCCUAUUCCAUCAAAACCCAGUUUAACUCUGAGGAGCAGUGGACAAAAGCUCUCAAGUUCAUGCUGACGAAUCUUAAGUGGGGUCUUGCUUGGGUGUCCUCACAAUUUUAUAACAAAUGACUUUUUUCCUUAGGGGGAGGUUUGCCUUAAAGGCUUUUAAUUUUGUUUUGUUUGCAAACAUGUUUUAAAUUAAAUUCGGGUAAUAUUAAACAGUACAUGUUUACAAUACCAAAAAAGAAAAAAUCCACAAAAGCCACUUUAUUUUAAAAUAUCAUGUGACAGAUACUUUCCAGAGCUACAACAUGCCAUCUAUAGUUGCCAGCCCUGGUCACAGUUUUGAUUCUUAACCCCAUGGACUCCUUUCCCUUUCUUCUCUGAAAAAAACUAAUUUAAAUUUGCUUUUCUUUUUUUUAACUGAGUUGAAUUGAGAUUGAUGUGUUUUCACUGGAUUUUUAUCUCUCUCAACUU